AAGCUUCCAGACUUGUAGUGGGGUGAUUCAUCAAGCACAGCAGAAGUUGCACAGGCUAUGCAAAAGUAGGAGUGAAAGUCUUUGACUGUUUCUCAAUGUAAUUCCAUGUCCUGUCUAGCCAUCAUCUUUAAGGUCUUAAUUUGAGAGGGUUAUUAGUAAGAGAUGUGUAAUUGGGUAUCUGAAGGUUACAUAUUUUUAAAAUUAUGUCUGAUGUACUGAUGAGAGAGACUGUCUGAUCCUGAUUGUAACUGAGAGCUACAUCCUUGUUCCUGAUACAAAAUCAGCCUGCUGUGAAUAGAAAUUGAUAGUAACUCUUUGCUUAGAAGAAGGUUAAAAGUGUCUUUGCCGAAAAGUGCACUUACUGAAGAAUGUUUAAUUUACAGUGACUUUCCCUUCCAAAGAUUCAGACAAGUUACCAACCACCUUGGUUUUGUCUAAUCUCAUAGGCUUUAGGUAUGGUUCUGCUUUAAAAAAAUGACUGUAAAAAUGGUAUCAUCAUACCCCAUCUUUUCCACUGCCCUGUUGUUGUGAGUGUGUUCAGUUUACAGCUGCUCUCCCUAAAAACAGGCCAAUUCAUUCAGGACUGUGAGAAUCAUUGUGACUUUGCGAUUUAUGCAACGCGUUCUGUAAGAAAGCCAAAUUUGGACACCCUAAGUGCAAACAUUCAAUUGGACAUAGUUUUACAGAGUUGAAACAAAGAUCUUCCAUACUACUCUGUGGCCUCUUCUAGAUGUGGUUUGCGAGGAACCAUUAGCAUACAUACAUACUAAUACCAAGAAAAAAUCUUUGAAUUCCAGGAAAAAUCUCGGAAAACUGUGAAUCACACUUCUCUCUUAAAGAAAAAUGCCUCUGUCCUAGAGAAGGGUUGUAGCUUCGUGAAGCAUUUCCUUGUUAGUUUAAAGGCUUUCUAAAUGAUGUGCUGCUUUUGUGGAACUCCUUUUUGAGUUGCCUAACUCUGCAAUGCCUUGAAACAGGAGCUGAAUUGCCUUGUUCACAGCUAUAAAUUACCUGAGGUGGUGGAAAGAUUAGAAGAGCUUUAACAGAGGAGGCUGGAAGAGGCUUGGCCUAAGUGACUACUGAAAGGAUACCUGAAAGGUCCUCACCAACGUAAACUGUUAGAAGUGUCUUCCAAAGAGUAGAAAAACAGAUGAAGUAAUAGGUCUGUUGCUCUGGUGCAGCAUGGCUGAACUUCGUACAAGAGGCUCUUCUCUCCUUAUAAGAAGUGACUUGUUCUAAAUAUCCUGUCAACAAGGGAGGAAGCUGGAAUACUUUGUUGUACUGUGGAGGAAUAUGAAAUGAGUUUGUUAUGGAAAGAUCAGAAUCCUUAACCUACUGGAUUUUGACAUGCUGUUUGAAACACAGACUCGCAGUGCUGCCCUUUGGAAAAACUGAACCUUAGCGCUGCUCAUUUGGAAACAUUAAACACAAUUACAAUUUACCGAACUAUAAGGACGUUUUUAUCAAUAUUGAUUGAAACAGUUGUUCUUAGAGAUGUCUUAGAAAAUAUUGGUUACUGUGCAAUUUGCUUUGAUUAGGCUUGGAAGACAAUUUAUGAGACAGCAGAAACCAUGCAGAUUGAAUGUAAGCCUCCAAUCAUGACAAGAAGUGAUAUGCAAGACGUACAUGCCACAUAAUGAGAUGAGGAAGAGCGACCCAAGUUUCUUAAUUGAAGAAACACAUCCAAUUGCUGCUGUGUGCCUUUAACCAAUAGCUUCCUGCUGAAUAAACGCUGAGGGCAUUCCUGACAUUCCCGGAGGAAGGCUGCUGGCGGAGCAAGCUGUCGUGGCUCUGUCCCAUCCCAGUUAUGUGCUGACGGCUGAGCUACACCCGUGCAGACGCCGUCUGGGCUUUCCAGCCAUAUACGGACAACACCCGAAUAUGAACCCAGUGCUCUUCUGCCCCUGGAACGCACUGAGGUCUCACGGGCAGCAGUCAUUCUGGCUACAUUAAAUUACUCAUAAGUGAAGGCCCAGAUGUGUGUUUAUCAUCUUUAUAUAAAACCAGACUUCCUUGAAAAUAAAAAGCUACCAUUUUAUAAAAGCUAUGUAAAACAUCACUGAAAUUUUCAUUAUGGAAGAGGAUUAGAUGGGAAAACAACAAAUUAGAUGUCCACAAAAUGCAAAUACAGAACACAGCCCAACAGAUGACUGCUGUGCUCCAAUACAAUUCUAGUGGUGACUCUUGGGAGAGCAGACAUCUGAAGUGUCUAGCCAAAAGGGAAGCAUAAUAUUCAGCUUUAGAGUGACUGCAGUGGAACCUUAGAAUUGUUUGUUUCUGUUUACAGCAAGAUGCACACAGAAGCUCCUGGCAAACGUGAGGUUUUGUUCAUUGCAUGGAUCUCCAAUGGGCUGCUUGGAGAUAGAAUAUCAUCCUAUUGCAGACAGUCCUUACUAAGGGCCAGAAGUACUUUGAGUUCUGCAGCCUACUUUGCUGGGCUAAGUACCAAGGUUCAACUCAGAGCAAAAUUGCAAAUGAAAAUAAUUUCUUGUACCUGCAAUCAGCAUGACUGGCACAGACAAUUUACCACAGCACAUCUCUUAACUUUCUGCUGAUAGGAGACAAGAAGAAAGACUGACAAACUGUUGAAUUGGAUCUCAGCUCUCCUGCUACAGAAGUCAAACACUACCAGUGGACUGUGCCAGAGAUUAGCACAGUUUUCAGAUGUGGCCUGUCUUUGACCAGUAGUCUUUGACCUCUCAUGAGACAAGAGACAAGGGUGACAGCUAGUUCCAGUAGUGACUAUCCUUUCUGCAACAUGAUCAUCUGAAAUGACAUAGAAACUUGACUGGGAAUAAAGACAGAAAACUUGGCUAAUAGCAACCAGACAUAAUCAUCUUGCUUUUUAAAAGGAAGAAAUAUAUGAAGAAAAGAAAGGAAGGAGAGAAUUUAAAGUACAUGAUCUCCCUCUAUCUUCCAUUUGCUGUGCUGUGAGUUCUGGGCCAGUAUCUUGCCUUAGCAGAUGAGCACAAGAAAAUCAGUCUUCUCAGCCUCUGCCAUAAGAGAUCCGCAAACAGGGACUCUCUGGUGCUUAUCUUGUUUGGAGGAGAUGGAGUAUUUCUUCAAGAGGAAGUACAAGAUGUUUCUCUGAUAUCUUUCAAUCCAGGGCAUAGAAGAACUUAAGAAUGUGUGGGAAAACUGUGAUUACAGAGUUUGUCAGAAAGCUACCUUUUUGCUACAAAGUCCUGCUCCAAAAAGUUUCAAAAUCAGCUAAAAAGUAGUGUCAAGAGGUUAACCAUUUAGGUUGGAAAAGACCCUUAAGAUUAUGAAGUCCUAAAGCUGAAGAUGAGAACAAAUGGCAUAGCUGUGGUGGAACAAAGGGUCCUUCUGCACUUUUGGGUGUAGAGAGACCUGAUUUUGUUUGGCCUGUGCUGACCCCAGAACUGGAAGUCAGAAGACCAGAGUGACAAGACACCUGUUCCUACAGGACAAGAGCCUCCACAAACCAGGCCUUUGAGCCAUGUUGGCCCUGAACUGCAUCUAUUUUAAUAACUCUACCUGACAGCAAAUCUGUGGCAGAGCUAGGAUCAGAAUGUAAUCAUCCUGGCUCAGUCAUGUGCAUAGAUUAUUUCUAAAACUUCCCUCAACAUCCAGGUUCCCAUAGCCGAUAAAAUAUAUAAACUAUGCUCUCUUAUCUUCUUAAUUCUCAGCAGAAUUCUCACUGUAACCUGAAAGACAUUCUUAAGCAAACAAAACAAGUUGACCUCUAAACUGUGCUUUCCAGUAGUAGGAGUUGUCGUUCUAACCCAGGGGCUGGGCAUUCAGUUUUCACAGCUUGCAGCAGACUCUCAAAUGAAAGUAUAAUUUCUUAAUUGCAUUCUGUAACAGCAGGUCCAGAGUAAAUAUAAGGUUACAUUUCAAUGAUCAGAAUUUCAGGAAUAAAAACAAAAUUUGCAUGCAUAGGAAAAGACAAUUUUAAAUGUUGUAUUAUAUUUCCCAGUAUCUCAUUUCUGUUCUGGAGAUCCUCUCUGAACUAAUGGCAGCUGUUAUAUACAUGGUCCGCUACAAGCCAGCCCUCCACAGCUCUCCAUCACCAUUUUGCUACGCAGGUAAAACAGUAUAAAGCAAACAAACAAACAGCUUUCUUCCAGAUCUGCUGCUGCUAUUUUUCUGUCAUUUUCUCAAAAUACCUGAUUUGUCAUUGUCAUCUGCCCUCACCCAUCAGUUCUUUCCACGCUGAAUAAGCAGAGCUGUAAUUUUUAGCAUUAAAAGUAUUAGCUAUUUUGGUUAAGAAAAUAUUGCUCUAAUAUGUGCAGCAAAUGGAAUAAAAAAUGCAUUAAC